rnacentral:rRNA from 1 species
GAUGAACGCUGGCGGCGUGCCUAAUACAUGCAAGUCGAGCGAACAGAUGAGGAGCUUGCUCCUCUGACGUUAGCGGCGGACGGGUGAGUAACACGUGGAUAACCUACCUAUAAGACUGGGAUAACUUCGGGAAACCGGAGCUAAUACCGGAUAAUAUAUUGAACCGCAUGGUUCAAUAGUGAAAGACGGUUUUGCUGUCACUUAUAGAUGGAUCCGCGCCGCAUUAGCUAGUUGGUAAGGUAACGGCUUACCAAGGCAACGAUGCGUAGCCGACCUGAGAGGGUGAUCGGCCACACGGGAGCUGAGACACGGUCCAGACUCCUACGGGAGGCAGCAGUAGGGAAUCUGCCGCAAUGGGCGGAAGCCUGACGGAGCAACGCCGCGUGAGUGAUGAAGGUCUUCGGAUCGUAAAACUCUGUUAUUAGGGAAGAACAAAUGUGUAAGUAACUAUGCACGUCUUGACGGUACCUAAUCAGAAAGCCACGGCUAACUACGUG